GACCAACUAAGUUUGUUACUGGUGUGAGCUUUCAUGUGCAUGGUAUCUGAAGAAGUGUGCAUGCACAUGAAAGCUCAUACCAAUAACAAACUUAGUUGGUC